GCGAAGUCGCGACUCGCAGCGUUGCCCGGUUGCGAGGCCGCCGCUGCACCAGCAUCUCUUUGUCGUCACCGGCUCGCCGCCCCAGCAUCUCGUCGCCAUCGCCGUUGACGUCGCUGUCGCCGGCGCCGCCGACCCUCCACCUUCUCGUCGCUUCGGUCACAGCAACGGGAACCCGCCUCAGCCUACAUCCCUAUGCCUCGCGCUAGGGUUUCGUUUUUCUUGAUCCGCUCUUCUCAGACUGUCCCGCUAGGCCACGGCUGAUUAGGGCUUCGCGUCGAGCAACACAGCACGAGAACCGGAAUCUGAGAGCAGCGGGAGAUCUGGGCGCUGUGCCUCCUGCUAUUGCUUGGGAUAUCUCUUGUUUGAGGUCUAACUACUCCUUCUGAUGGGCUAGAUGUCUCAAGUGCACACAAUGAAGCUCAGUCUACAGGAGAUUCUAUGCAAGGAGUGAGUGGUGGGAGAAAGCAGGUUUUGGUGGAACAAAUGCAUGUUUGAGACAAGUGAAGUAUGGUCAAAUUUUGUAAUGAUCGUUGACAUUUUUGGCUUCUAUGUAGUUGUGCAAAGACUUUAUUUCUGUUUGAAACACCUAUAUAUUGUUAUGUAAACAUACUUAUUUCUGAGAUUUUUCUAU